rnacentral:rRNA from 1 species
UCAUAUGCUUGUCUCAAAGAUUAAGCCAUGCAUGUAUCAGUUCACGCCACUUGAUGGCGAAACCGCGAAUGGCUCAUUAAAUCAGCUUUGGUUUCUUAGACCUUACCCUUACUUGGAUAACUAUAGUAAUUCUAGAGCUAAUACAUGCCAAUGAGCCGUUGCUUCUUGAAGUAUCGGCGGUUUGAUUAGAUCAAAGUUAACCGGUUCUUUUGAGCCGUUUGUUUGAUGACUCUAGAUGACUUACCUAAUCGCGUGACCUUGAGUCGGCGAUGUAUCUUUCAAAUGUCUGACCUAUCAACUUUCGAUGGUGAGUGAUAUGCUCACCAUGGUGAUAACGGGUAACGGGGAAUCAGUGUUCGAUUCCGGAGAGGGAGCCUUAGAAACGGCUACCACAUCUAAGGAAGGCAGCAGGCGCGCAAAUUAUCCACUCUCAGCGAGAGGAGAUAGUGACGAUAAAUAACAAUGCAAGACUCAAAAUGAGGCCUUGCAAUUGGANUGAGUACAAUUUAAAUCCUUUAACGAGGAUCCAUUGGAGGGC